AUAAUUCUCUCAUCUCUCUUUCACUGAAAAGUCUAACAAGGUUUAUGUGGGUCAAAAUCGUCGACAAGAUAGUUUUUCUUGUUGGGAAGUUAAGUGGAAAUGAAGUAUUUUUUGGAAGAAAAAGACCAAACUUUUCUACGCUCCCUACAUAGUUUUGAGAAAUUGUUAUCAUUACAAAUAACCUAAACUCGUUGCUGAUAUUCACAAAUAAGAAAGCUUGAAAGAUGUCUUACUUAAUAUCCAUGCUAGUUUUGUUGCUAGCAAUUAUCACUCUUACAACCGUAGCAGGAAAUAUUAAUCCCAAAUAUGAGUCUGCACGAUCCAAUGGAUUCAUCAGUUACCAGCCCCCAACAACUGAUACACAAAAACUGGUUGGUCUCGAUUACAGGCGACGUAGACAUGCACCACCGCCGCCACCUCAAUAUCGUCCCAGAAUUAACUACCCAGGAACACCACACCAACAGCCUCAUCGACACCAGUUACGCCCACCUCCUAAAAUGUAAGAAUUAAGAACUCACCAUUUGAGGAGGCUAAGUUGGUCCAAUAAACUACUCUCUCCUGUUAUGUUUAAAAAAAAAAAAAAAAGUUUUUUUUAGAUUCAUUGAAUACUUGAUACAUAUUAUAAACCAAAUAUAUUAAGUAUUCAAUAAAUCUAACAAUCAGUUUUUUUUAGUUUAUAAAUGUAACUGAAGGACAAUUAACAUCAUCGUUGAUAGUAUAUUUUAUGUCUUUCACUAAAAAAAGUAUAUUUUAUGUCUUAGUUGUUAUUUUGAUUUAUAUAUUUUCUGUACUUUUUAGUGUGCUUAAGAUUUUACCAUAUGGAUAAUAAUGAUUUAUCCAGAAUAUUAUAUAAUAAGUGUAUUAAUUGUUCAUUAAGGAAAAGAACAAAAAUAAAUGUGGAAACGUCUUUAAUUGUAUUUGAUAGUUUUUUUUUAUUGUUUAUUUUAUCUUUAAUUUUCUUAGUUCCAUAUUUUUAAUUUAUUUGGAGCCUGUCAACGAUAUUCCGGGUUGGAAUCCAGUUAAUAAUAUGUCUAACAUAAUAAUAUUGUUAUUUGUCGGUUGAGUUAUGUCUUACGAACAACGACGCAAUUUAUUAGUAUAUCAUAUUUAAUAUCUUUUGUCAAAAAAAAAAAUCAUACCUUUUUUUUUUUUUUUUUAUUUAAGGAGAAAUCAUACUUAAUAUCUACUGUGUGAAUAGAAUUACUCAAAUUUAGCCAAACUGCAAUAUAUAUGCUCCCAUUCACUUUAUACAUUUUCCGGUACUGAUUUGUUGUUGGAAAUUGUUAAAGACUUACCAGAUUUAAAAUAUAUUUGAGUAAACUAAAUCAGAAAAUAUCAUAUCAUCUUUUGUUUGAUUUCCUUACAACUUUUUUUGGUCAAGUAGGCAAACAGCCAGAGAAAUUCACUUUAAAUGUGAAUAAGUAGGAUGUUGGGGGUUCAAACUCCAGCCUCUACAUAUAUAUGCAUUAUCCAAUACUAAAUAAGUUAAUCUUACAGGAACCCCCAUACAUACAAUUUACAUGGUAUAUUUAUUAUUUUUUCAACAAACAUACCUCUUAUUAAUAUUACUAAUUUAUCCUUGAAAAUGAAAAGUUAAAAUUAAACACUAAUUUAUUUCAAUGUUUUCCAACUUCAAAGUUAUUGUUAAAUCGGCGCACAUUACUACUUUGUUUAAUAUGACAUCUUCAUAUAAGUGAUUUAAAAAAAAAAUAGUGGUAUUUGAACAACCAUUUCAUACAACUUUUGGUGACAAUUUCUUUUCUCUCUUUUCAUUGGUUAAAAAUAAUGGAGAGAGAAAAAUGAAGAGAGAAAAUAAGAGGAUAAUGCGAGUAUGAGAGAUAAAGUUAUAAAAAAAUCGUCAUAAAAUGGAUGUACAAAUAUUAUUUCUCUUAAAAAAAAAAAAAGGGGUUGACAUCGUUCUAUAUAACUAUAAAUUACUAAUAAGAUAUAGUUAAAGUGGCCCCAUACGAACACAUCAUUUGUUCAAUCAAUUUUUAAAGGUAAUGUUUAAUAAGUAUUUAUUUAUUCCAAUCUAACAACUCUUCAAAAAUUAUUAAGUGGGUCCUACAAAUAACUUUACAUUAGUACUUUUUAAAAACAAUUAAUAUGUUUGUGCAAUUUGCUCAUUAUUUAGCAAAGACGAUUCCGUGUCAUGUUAGUUUCCGUGUUCAUAUUAGAACUCUAUCAUAUAUCUCUAUUAUUAUUAUAAAUGAAAUGCACUAAAUUUUCCUUUGUAAAAACAGUUUGUGCAACAUUAUUAUUUUUUAAAUAUGAAGAAAACAUUGAAUAGAGAGUAUGCAAUACAAGAGAGAGACAAUACUUUUACUACAAGCUUUGCAUCUAAAUAACAGUGCUUCUUAUUUCUUCUCCAUUGAUAACAAAAAAGGACUUGUUUCUACCUACUAAGUAACAAAAUAGUCUUUGUCAAAAAAAAAAAAAAGUAACAAAAUAGUCAAUAGUAAGCAUUUUCUUCAAAUCUUCACUUGAAUUACCAUUGACCAAACAAUGCUACGAUAUACUCAACUAUUGAGUUUCCUUUGAUCUUUGAUAAAAUGUCAAUUAUAAGAUGGACAAUUUAAAUGAGAAAACCCCUAAAUUUCAUUUUAAGGUGAAAUGAUCAAAGUCCUUUACUUUAUGUUACCAACUUACUCAAAUUAAAACCAUGAGAUCAUCUCACUCUAACGUACCAAAAUUCAAUCAAGUCUAAGUUACUCCAUUUAUUCUCUAAUUACAAAAGUUUAUAUGAAUUUUCAGAGAGAUGAAUGCGAUGAGGGUUUGAACAAGAUAAAGAGAAAAUGUCAUAAUUUAAAAAAAUAGAUUGUUAAAACUUAUAUAAUUUUUGAGAAUAUAAGAGAAGUGAACAUGUAUAAAUUUUGUGAAAAUAUACGAUUGAAUCAAUUCAUUCAAAUCUAGAACAUAAGUGUGAAUCGAUUCAUAAGUUAGAGACUUUUAAAGCACUAUUUUAAAGAAAAAUAGGGAGUGAAUCGAUUCAUUCAACCUCGGAAAAGGAUUUGUGAAUCGAUUCAUAAGUCAAAGAGUUAAACCUCUUAAAAAAAAUAAUUCAUUCAAAUCAUAAACGAGGUAUGAACCGAUUCACUUAACUUAAAGUGUAAUAAAUCAUGUUUUUUUAUUAUGUGAAUUGAUUUUCACAUACCCCAAAAUUAAUUUUUUUUUUAUGCUAACAUAACUUCCAAAAACAUUAUUCAUUGAAAUUUCAAAGGGACGGUGAUGUGAUACUUAGAAGUUACUUAGUUACAUCAAUUAUAAACUUAUUUUUUGUCCUCUAAUUGAAAUGAAUUCUUAUACACUAAAAAUAAUAUGUACUUACAUGAUGCACUUAAUUAGUUAAAAAUUAUUUAAUUGAUGCACUUCGUUAAUAUAAAAAAUAUUACAGUGUUGGUAAUCAAUGGAUUCACAUUGACACCACAAUUAUUUUCACUUUUCAAAAUAUUAUAAUACUCCCUCCGUCCCUAAUUAUAAGACCCUUUUGAGAAUUUUUUUUGUCCCUUUUUAUAAGAUNUUGGAAUAAUAAUGUCCCGUCGAAAUUAAGAAUGAUCUUAAAUGUAUAUAAACAUUCUUUCAAAAAAUUUCUAAUUGAGGAGAAAUUAAAAAGUGGAAAUAGUGGUAUCAGCAUAUUUGAGUGGUCGUAGUGCCAUAUUGAUAUUUUGGAGAAUUAAAGUUAAAAUGGUGGUAACACCAUAUUUGAGUGGUCUCAGCACCAUAAGAGAGUGGUAACAAUACCAUAUUAAAGUGGUUUCAACAUUAAAGAGUGGUCUUACUAUCAUAUUGAAGGUGUAAUUCUCGAACGGUUUUCUACACUGCAAUAGUUAAUCGAACAGUUCUAACCGGGCUUGUUUUAUAUCCUGCAGACGGCGUGGUUAAUAGUCUGUCUUGAACAAUUUUGAGCAGUGUCAUGAAAUGUUUUAUAGAGAGCGACCUGAUCGUGACUCAACCUAGUAACCAGUGGCGGAGCCCUAUCAACGAUUAUAGGUCUAUUUUGCGAGAUUUUAUGCAAUUUUGUGUCAGUUUUAUGUUUUGGUUGAUCCAAAUUCUUGCAAAGUGGUGUAGUGGCCCACCCGAAAAUUUAAAUGAUUCAAUUAUAGGUCUAUUUUGUGAGAUUUUAUACAAUUUUAUGUCGGUUUUAGGUUUCGGUUGAUCCAAAUUCCCGCAAAUUGGUGUAGUGGCCCACCCGAAAAAUUUAAAUAAUUCAAUUAUGAGUCUAAUUUGCGAGACUUUAAACAAUUUUUCAAUAGUUAAUUUUAGUGGCCCACCCUGACAUUUUUUUCUGGCUGGCUCCGCCACUAGUAACAACUUCGAUAGAUAAUAUAAUUUAGAAAUUCAAAUAAAACAGUUUGAAAAUCCAAUUGUCAUGCAAAUUUACUAUUUAGCAAUGUACUGGUUUAUGUCAAACCACUGUCAAUUGAAUUACUCCAAUUUAGCCAAACUCCAAUAUAUAUUUAGCAAUGUACUGAUUUGUUGUUAAUUAGAAAUUUUUAAUGACUUAAUAGAUUUAAAAUCUUUGUGAGCAACAAAUUACAAGCAUUGUUUUAAAUAUAUAAAUCUUUCAAAUGAUGCAUCUAUGCCACUAUUUCUUUAAAUUAGAGUUUGUACUUUGUACACCUGCUGUUGUUUUGUGAAUUUCUAUUUGUUCUCAUGCCUUCCAUAUUGAAAUGAAGAUAUAGAAGAAAAAAUAUGCUGAAACUAGCUAAUUUUCGCAGACUAAACACUAUUAAAUUAGUCUCCAACUUUUUGUGAUGUUCUCAAAAAGUGCCUUCCAUACUAAUAUGAAGAUAUGGAAAGAAUAAUUCAAAAAGAUUAGUCAAUUUCUUUUUGUGUUAACUCUUCGAUUUUUAGGAAAAGAGAUUAUAGUAAUCUCGAGUACAUCUGUAAGGUAAGUAAAAUUUGAGCUAUAAUUGUUUCACUCAUUAAAUAAACUCAUAUGUCAUAAACAAUAUGUUCUUUAAUGAAAUUUAUUAACCACUCAAGUGUGAUUGCUUGUUUAAGAUUAGUCAAUUUACUCUUAUUAGUUCUUCAAAGAGUAUGUUAGGGACUAAUUUGAAUUUUUUUUUUAUCGCAAGGGACUAAUUCGAUUGAAAGUGGAUAAAUUUAGAGAUCAAACUAGUAAAUGAUUAAAUACAAACCCACUUGGGUUGACCUAGUGGUAUUGGUUUGGGACCUUAGAGUGUGCUCCUUCUCAAGGCUCAUGUUCGAUUCUCUUUGGUGCUAAUUUAGGUGGGUUAAUUUAAUUUCUUAAAUAAAAAGUGAUUAAAUACAAAAAGAACUUGAUAGUUUAAUAGAGUUAGAAAUAAUUUUGGUAUACUCAUAAUUUCAUAAACCAAUCCGAGAAUGUAAUACAAAAUCAUAGACUAAUUUUAUGAUACCUCUAUUUCUUUUUGGUAAAUAGAGAUAACUUUCAUUAACCAACGCAAUUAUUAUAAACCAGAUGGAAUUAGGAAACAACUAAACAAAGAAACAAGAGUUAAGCAUCCAUUAAUGAGUUUGCACCCGAAUCAUCAGAGUUUGCACCUUCUUGAAUUGCAAUCCUAUAAUGUAAGCAUCCAUUUUGAUUUGGUUAAGGAGUUGUUGAACAGAUCGGUAACAAUUCUGAAAUCUUCUAUCAUUCCUCUCCUUCCAGAUCAUAUAGAGGGUCACACUCAACACCAUUCUAUGAGUUUGAUGCAUGCCAUUGUUACUGUUACAAUGAGACUGGACAUAUUGCAAAAUAGAUUGCCAAUUGCUAGUAUUGACACUCAUAUUCAUCCAUCUCAUAGCACCUUUCUAAACAACAACAUCAUAUUCACAAGAAGAAAAAAAAAAGUGAGAUUGAGUUUCAUUCUCCUUUGUACACAAAAUGCAAACCUGGUCACAUUGGAUACCUACUUUAAGCAUCCUCUCACAUCCCAGAAGUUUUUACAAAACAACAUCCUAAUUCCAAACACAUAAAAAAAAAAGGAUUAAUAGAGCUUUACCCCCUUGUAAUAUAUGACACUUUUGGUUUUCCCCCUGUAAUUUUUUUUUUAGAUUCCGUCCUUUUAAAAUAAAGAUUCUUCAAGAUUGCCCCCUGAACCCUGUGACUCAGCAGAAUCUAUGAUGUGACAUUUUUUUUUUCAAUUUUUUUGGAUGCCACGUGUAAAAAAGAUUUUACAUGUCAUUUAUAAUUAAAAAAGUAAAAAAAAUAUAUUUUUUUUAAAAAACGAAAAAAUCUUUUUUUAAAAAGCUAAAAUUAUUUUAAAAAUCAGAAAAAUACUAAUUUUUUUUAAAAAAUUUGAAAAAUCGAAAAAAAAUCAAUUUUUUUUUCCAAAAUUUAAAAAAUUGAAAAUGAAAUUCCAGAUUUUUUUUUUUUUAUUUUAGCUCAAAAAACUGACAUGGAAAAUGUAUUUUACACGUGACAUUAAAAAAAAAUUGAAAAAUAAAAAAAAAUGUCACGUCAGUGACAUAUCAAAGAUUCUGCUGAGUCACAGUGCAUAGUGGGCAAUCUUGAAGAAUCUUUAUUUUAUAAGGACGAAAUCUAAAAAAAAAAAUUUGCAGGGGGAAAACCAAAAGUGCCCUAUAUUACAGGGUGGUAAAGUCCUAUUAACCCUAAAAAAAAUAUUCGGUUUUUUGCGGUUUUCAAUUUUUUUUGAUUAGUUUACAGUUUUUUUAUCGGUUUGAAUUUGAACACCCCUAAAACCAUCUCCAAUGGGAGAUCUUCAACAUUUAAGACCCGAUAUCUAUUAGGUACUCCCAUUUGGGAGAAAAUUUUUCAAGGUCUUAAAAGACCUGGGGGUCUCACUUAAGACCCUCAAUCUUAAGCGGGACCCACUCUCUUUUAAUAUUAAAAAAUUGAAAUAUAAUGAUAUAAAGUUAUUGAUAGUUGCUUAUCGUGGCUCAUUUAAGUAAUUUGUAUGAGAUGCUGGGUUGGAAGGAUUGAGUACUUAUUAGAUACUUCCUCCGUUUCAAAAUACUUGUCCAUUUUGAAGAAAUUACACAUACCAAUGAAUCAAAUAAAUGUUGUCAUUUUUUAUGAAAUUCUUUGUGUCUUUUUCUAUAAUACCCUGCUCAUUUAUUAUUUCAUUCAAUUAUUUCUCUCUCAACAAUAAAUAGGUAAGGGUAAUAUUGAUAAACCAAUAAUUAAUGUUGCAUUGAAACUUCAAAGUGACAAGUAAAAUGAAACAAAAUAAUUCUCCAAAAUGGACAAGUAUUGUGAAAUGGAGGGAGUACUACUCUUAAAUAAUUAUAAAUAAGUGAUGUAUCCGUAAGACUCAUUUAAAUAUUUAAAAAUGAAUAUCUCCAUUAUAGAUGCUGUAAUAAAGAAUAUAACUUUUUAUUAAAAAAUUUUGUAAUUAUUACAUCAACAAAAAUAACAAUUUUUUUUUUGAAGAAACAAAAAUAACAACUUGUUUUAUAAAAAAAGUAAAAACUUAUUUCAAAGACAUACUGUCAUUUAAUACAAUUCUUUUUUCUUUUUUGACCAAACAUUUAAUACAAUUCUUAAAAAACUUGUGAAGCUGGUUUCUUAAGAAACAAAAUGACUAUACGGCCCAUGUUAAAGCAACCUCUCUCGCCAACUUCUUCACAAUCAAACAAGAGAAAUUUGGCAUCUUGAUCUCACCAAUAAUUCUCUCAUCUCUCUUUCACUGAAAAGUCUAACAAGGUUUAUGUGGGUCAAAAUCGUCGACAAGAUAGUUUUUCUUGUUGGGAAGUUAAGUGGAAAUGAAGUAUUUUUUGGAAGAAAAAGACCAAACUUUUCUACGCUCCCUACAUAGUUUUGAGAAAUUGUUAUCAUUACAAAUAACCUAAACUCGUUGCUGAUAUUCACAAAUAAGAAAGCUUGAAAGAUGUCUUACUUAAUAUCCAUGCUAGUUUUGUUGCUAGCAAUUAUCACUCUUACAACCGUAGCAGGAAAUAUUAAUCCCAAAUAUGAGUCUGCACGAUCCAAUGGAUUCAUCAGUUACCAGCCCCCAACAACUGAUACACAAAAACUGGUUGGUCUCGAUUACAGGCGACGUAGACAUGCACCACCGCCGCCACCUCAAUAUCGUCCCAGAAUUAACUACCCAGGAACACCACACCAACAGCCUCAUCGACACCAGUUACGCCCACCUCCUAAAAUGUAAGAAUUAAGAACUCACCAUUUGAGGAGGCUAAGUUGGUCCAAUAAACUACUCUCUCCUGUUAUGUUUAAAAAAAAAAAAAAAAGUUUUUUUUAGAUUCAUUGAAUACUUGAUACAUAUUAUAAACCAAAUAUAUUAAGUAUUCAAUAAAUCUAACAAUCAGUUUUUUUUAGUUUAUAAAUGUAACUGAAGGACAAUUAACAUCAUCGUUGAUAGUAUAUUUUAUGUCUUUCACUAAAAAAAGUAUAUUUUAUGUCUUAGUUGUUAUUUUGAUUUAUAUAUUUUCUGUACUUUUUAGUGUGCUUAAGAUUUUACCAUAUGGAUAAUAAUGAUUUAUCCAGAAUAUUAUAUAAUAAGUGUAUUAAUUGUUCAUUAAGGAAAAGAACAAAAAUAAAUGUGGAAACGUCUUUAAUUGUAUUUGAUAGUUUUUUUUUAUUGUUUAUUUUAUCUUUAAUUUUCUUAGUUCCAUAUUUUUAAUUUAUUUGGAGCCUGUCAACGAUAUUCCGGGUUGGAAUCCAGUUAAUAAUAUGUCUAACAUAAUAAUAUUGUUAUUUGUCGG
rnacentral:lncRNA from 1 species